rnacentral:rRNA from 1 species
UACGUAGGGUGCGAGCGUUAAUCGGAAUUACUGGGCGUAAAGCGUGCGCAGGCGGUUAUGUAAGACAGAUGUGAAAUCCCCGGGCUCAACCUGGGAACUGCAUUUGUGACUGCAUAGCUAGAGUACGGUAGAGGGGGAUGGAAUUCCGCGUGUAGCAGUGAAAUGCGUAGAUAUGCGGAGGAACACCGAUGGCGAAGGCAAUCCCCUGGACCUGUACUGACGCUCAUGCACGAAAGCGUGGGGAGCAAACGAGG